rnacentral:rRNA from 1 species
AACGAACGCUGGCGGCAGGCCUAAUACAUGCAAGUCGAGCGAAGCCUUCGGGCUUAGCGGCGGACGGGUGAGUAACGCGUGGGAACGUGCCCUUUGCUACGGAAUAGCCCCGGGAAACUGGGAGUAAUACCGUAUGUGCCCUUCGGGGGAAAGAUUUAUCGGCAAAGGAUCGGCCCGCGUUGGAUUAGGUAGUUGGUGGGGUAAUGGCCUACCAAGCCGACGAUCCAUAGCUGGUUUGAGAGGAUGAUCAGCCACACUGGGACUGAGACACGGCCCAGACUCCUACGGGAGGCAGCAGUGGGGAAUCUUAGACAAUGGGGGAAACCCUGAUCUAGCCAUGCCGCGUGAUCGAUGAAGGCCUUAGGGUUGUAAAGAUCUUUCAGUGGGGAAGAUAAUGACUGUACCCACAGAAGAAGCCCCGGCUAACUCCGUGCCAGCAGCCGCCGUAACAC